GACGAACGCUGGCGGCGUGCUUAACACAUGCAAGUCGAACGGAAAGGCCUGCUUUCCCUUGUGGAUUGCGGGUACUCGAGUGGCGAACGGGUGAGUAACACGUGAGUGAUCUGCCCCCAACUUGGGUAUAAGCCUGGGAAACUGGGUCUAAUUCCCGAUAGGACUGCAGGGUGGUGCCUGUGGUGGAAAACGAUUUUCUAGUGGUUGGGGAUGAGCUCGCGGCCUAUCAGCUUGUUGGUGGGGUAAUGGCCUCCCAAGGCGGCGACGGGUAGCCGGCCUGAGAGGGUGGACGGCCACAUUGGGACUGAGAUACGGCCCAGACUCCUACGGGAGGCAGCAGGGGGGAAUAUUGCACAAUGGGCGGAAGCCUGAUGCAGCGACGCCGCGUGGGGGAUGACGGCCUUCGGGUUGUAAACUCCUUUCGACCGCGAGGAAGCCACCUGGUUGGAAGGGUGGUGACGGUAGUGGUAGAAGAAGCACCGGCUAACUACGUG
rnacentral:rRNA from 1 species